rnacentral:rRNA from 1 species
GAUGAACGCUAGCGGCAGGCUUAAUACAUGCAAGUCGAGGGGCAGCACAGGUAGCAAUACUGGGUGGCGACCGGCAAACGGGUGCGGAACACGUACACAACCUUCCUUAAGGUGUGGGAUAGCCCAGAGAAAUUUGGAUUAAUACCACAUAGCAUAUUGGGUUGGCAUCAGCCUGAUAUUAAAGAUUUAUUGCCUUAAGAUGGGUGUGCGUAUGAUUAGGUAGUUGGUUGGGGUAACGGCCCACCAAGCCAUCGAUCAUUAACUGGUGUGAGAGCACGACCAGUCACACGGGAACUGAGACACGGGCCCGACUCCUACGGGAGGCAGCAGUAAGGAAUAUUGGUCAAUGGACGAAAGUCUGAACCAGCCAUGCCGCGUGAAGGAUGAAGGUCCUCUGGAUUGUAAACUUCUUUUAUAGGGGGCGAAAAAAGGGAAUUUUUUCCCGUCUGACGGUACCCUAUGAAUAAGCACCGGCUAACUCCGUGCCAGCAGCCGCAGUAAUAC